rnacentral:rRNA from 1 species
AGAUUGAACGCUGGCGGCAGGCCUAACACAUGCAAGUCGAGCGGUAGAGAGGUGCUUGCAUCUCUUGAGAGCGGCGGACGGGUGAGUAAUGCCUAGGAAUCUGCCUAGUGGUGGGGGAUAACGUUCGGAAACGGACGCUAAUACCGCAUACGUCCUACGGGAGAAAGCGGGGGACCUUCGGGCCUCGCGCCAUUAGAUGAGCCUAGGUCGGAUUAGCUAGUUGGUGAGGUAAUGGCUCACCAAGGCGACGAUCCGUAACUGGUCUGAGAGGAUGAUCAGUCACACUGGAACUGAGACACGGUCCAGACUCCU